rnacentral:lncRNA from 9 species
AUGAUCUCCUGCCAUUUCAGCAGAUGGAGGAAUGGGGCCGGAGGUGAAAAUGGGCAGGAGGACUCGGGAGGCUCUCUGGUGGCAGCAGAGCCGGCAUGCUCGUGUUGGCCAUUUCUCAGCUGGGGAAUCCGCCACGGAGAGGUUCCCUUUAGCAAGAGAGGCAGAGGCUCCCUUUCUCAGGUCUUUCAGGGUGCUGUCUGCCUUCCUUCGAGACGUUUCCCCAGGAGGAUGGGCCAAGAGGAGCUCUGUCCGUGCCUCAUCCCGCCCCCGCCCCCCAGCCCCAGCCCUCGACUCCCAGCCCCUGUCCAGUCAGGUGAGGCGCCCAGAGUACCUCGUGAGCAGCACCACCGCCUUGCUGACAGUGACUUGUGUGUCCCCCAGCAACUCACGACGACGAUGUUGUGGAGGCCGGUGGGAGUGAGAAGACCAAGGCGAAGCCCCGGGCUGGGGGACAUGAGGACGAGGCGGCCCCAGUACCCCCAGUACCUGAGGUGGAGGAGGAGGAGGAGGCGGGCCGGCCCCUUGAAAAUGGCCAGGAGGAGUCCCCAGCCAUCGCCUGGGCCGAGCCGGAAGACGAGCCUGGCCCCAAGGUGGACGGGGCGGACGAUGAAAUCUGUGAGUAUUCUGGAGCCCGGCUCUGCUGAGGAGAAGUCCAGGUGUUGAGGAAAUGGGGGGGGGGGCCGCGAGGGAGGCGGGGUGGGGGGGGCUCUCCUGCUCCUUUGGUUGCAGAGACACCCUGAUUCUGGGUUCCUCCUGGGAAUGAGGGUGAAGGAUGGGGUGAAAGAGACGGACUUCCCAAGAAGGGCCACCCCAGGUUCUAGGGUCCCUGGACAAAAGGAGGCUCUUUGUAUGGCGUGGGUAGGUGUCGGGGGACACGGUGGGGGCGGGGAGGGUGGUGCGUGUGAGGGCCUGCUGGUGUGAUUGGCAAUCAGUGUGAGUGGGUGUGUGCUGUGGGGAGCCGUUUGUGGCUUAGCACCACACAGCUGUCCAGCUUCUAAUUGAGGAGUCUCACGAUGACCGCAGGCUAACCGUCCAUUCCCUCGUUCUGCCCGCACCGGCUGGGAGCAAGGGUUUGGGGGAAAGGCAUUGCUUCCUCUGUUGGUCUUUCUUUUCCUUUUCGCUUCCCUCUCUGCCUUGUGUGGACUUUGAUACCGUUGUUUCAAACACGUGCCAGGGACUCGAGCCCCUUCAGGCUGUGAGUGUCCCGAGGAGUGUUGUGAACGCUGUGCUCCACCCGCACCUCCUGCCCACUCUGGGCAGCCACCCUUCCAGCCUCUGCUCAGGAGUGGUGUGUCAGACACUUGAUGCGCAUGACAUCAGAGAGUCUUUGUCCUUCUGUGCCUGACUUGCUUCGCUUGAAAUGCUGUCCUCCAGCGAGUUCCUGUCGAGGCUCAGUGGUCAUGAACCCGACUGGUAUCUCUGAGGACGCGGGUUCGACCCUUGGCCUUGCUCAGUGGGGGAAGAAUCCAGCGUUGCGGUGAGCUGCCUGCGGCAGAGGUCCCAGACGCGGCUGGUAUCCAGCUUUGCUGCAGCUGGGGUGUAGGCCGGUGGCUACAGCUCUGAUUUGCCGCCUCUCCUGGGAAUUUCCGUAUGCCGCGGGGGCCGCCCUCAAACCCCGAGACGAAUCGAUCAGUAAUGUCCUCCAGUUCUCUGUGCACUGCUGCAGUGGGUAGGGUUUCUGUGGGCUGUAUCCAUCCCGUUGUCUUUCUCAGUCUGUGUGCCCGUGGGCACUGGGGCUCUGUUUCUGUUGGGCUCUCGUGUGUGUGGCGCUGCCGGGAUCCUGGGAUGGCGGGUCUCUUUACCCGACACCGAUGGUUCUUCCUUUAGAUGUCCACGCAGCAGUGGGACUGCGGGGUCCCGUGCUAGGUCCGUGGGCAGCUUUCCUGAGGACCUGCCAUAGUGUUUCCCGUCCUGGCUGGGCCAGCUGACCUUCCCGCCCACAGCGUAGAGAAGUCCCAGGUAGUCACAUCUUCCCAGACGACCUGUUCACGCUUGAAAACACUCCGCGUCCUACGAGGAGGGAGGUGAUAGCUCGUUGUGCCUUUGCUUUGCCUUGCCGUUGUGGUGGGUGACUUUGGGAAACGUUCCGUGUGUGUGCUGCUGUCUGUUGUCUUCUUGGACGGAGGCGGUCUCCCAGGCUUCCGCUCACCUACACCUGAGUUAUUUGCCUUUUGGGUCAAUUGAUUUGGCGUUGUUUCCCACAGAUUCUGGACAUGAGCCCCUGUUCCAAAUGUAAGGUUUGCAGAUAGCGUCUUCUGCGGGUUGUCUUUCCAUUCAGUGGCUCGUCAGACACUGUCCUUUCUGUUUGUCUCUGUGUUCAUUGAGGUGCCGUGUUGUUUCAUUUUCCUGCCGUGUAGCAACAUUCCCCAGGCGUGUGUGUGCAUAAACACAGGUUCCUUUUGGACUGUUAUCGUCCGUCCCGGUCGAUUUCAGGAGAUGGGAUCCAGUUCCCCGUGCGCUGCAGCAGGAGGACCUCGUCGUCGCUCCAUUCUCAAUGCCGUAGUUGGCAUCGACUCCCCCCAAACGCCCAGUCCGUGCCCUUCACGAAAGCCACAAGUCUGUUCUCUGUGUCCGUGGGUUUUGUGGACAGGGUCCUUUGUGCCAUGGUUUAGACUCCACAUCUAAGUGAGAUCUCUCUCUUUGUCACGUACUUCGCUUUGUAUGAGAAUGUCUCGAUCCAGCCCUAUGGUUUUGAAUGGCAUUGGUUUCUUCUUGGAUUUUCUGGCUGAGUCGUGAAUUCCCUCGUGUAUGUGGACCACAUGGUCGUGAUCCAUCCCUGUGCCUGUGGACAUGAGGUGGCGUCCCUGUCCUGGCUGUUGUGAGUGGUGCCGCCAUACACACACAGGGGCAUGUGUCUCUUUCCUGGAUACGUGUGUCGUGGUAUCUUCCAGGGCGCUCGCUCGGCUUGCUGGGUCGCAUGCUGUGCUGCGUUCCGUUUUGGGAGGCCCCUCCGUGGUGCCUUCGGUAGUGGUUGUACCGGUGUACGUUCGCACCGGCAGUGCUGGGGGGGAGGCCUUUGCUCCAGCCGUGUCUGCGACCGACACCAGAGCUGGCGGCAACGCUGGAUCCUUAACCCCCUCGGCGAGGCCAGGGAUCAGCCCCGCAAGCUCGUGGUUCCUGGUCGGAUUUGUUUCCGCUGCGCCCCGACGCCCCGACGGGAACUCCUGGCUUGUUUUCUUUGCUGUUGCUGUUGAGGUGUAUGAGUUUUCUUUAUGUGUGCUUUGGAGAGGAACCUCACGGGCAGGGGUGCCCGUCUCCUCAGUGUUUCUGUAGAGCUGCUGUCCACAGCGUGGCAGCCGCUGUCCAGAGGGAGCCAUUUAUGCUUCAUUGAAUUCAGCCAGUAGUUAGGUCUGCCUCUGGCAGUGAACAGAAGAAAGCAGCCAAGGGUUCACUCCCCCGAGCCAGCACGCAAGGGUGUCCGUGCAGCUGGACUUUCAGGUGUGUCACGCUGGGGCUGAGGCCUCCGGAGGGACUCCUAGAAGGGAGGCGUGCGUGUAAAGCGCCAUCCCUCAGCAG